GGAAUUUUGGACAAUGGGCGCAAGCCUGAUCCAGCCAUGCCGCGUGAGUGAAGAAGGCCUUCGGGUUGUAAAGCUCUUUCGGCUGGGAAGAAAUCGCACUCUCUAAUACGGGGUGUGGAUGACGGUACCAGCAUAAGAAGCACCGGCUAACUCCGUGCCAGCAGCCGCGGUAAUACGGAGGGUGCAAGCGUUAAUCGGAAUUACUGGGCGUAAAGCGCACGCAGGCGGUCUGUUAAGUCAGAUGUGAAAUCCCCGGGCUUAACCUGGGAACUGCAUUUGAAACUGGCAGGCUUGAGUCUUGUAGAGGGGGGUAGAAUUCCAGGUGUAGCGGUGAAAUGCGUAGAGAUCUGGAGGAAUACCGGUGGCGAAGGCGGCCCCCUGGACAAAGACUGACGCUCAGGUGCGAAAGCGUGGGGAGCAAACA
rnacentral:rRNA from 1 species